rnacentral:lncRNA from 1 species
UGAAUACCCCACAGUAAAUGAUUGGUAUGAUGCCUUUAGCCAACUGGGUUUUACUUCUAUUUGAGUUUUAUUCUGUAAAUUUUAACCAGAUUGGAUUAUUACAAGUAAAAUUACAUGGGCAUGUUUCUAUAUUACUAACCAAUCUAUUUGUCUCCUUCUGUUUUUAUUAUGUUUGUGCAAAUCUUGUUUUUAUUAGAUUUAGAACUGUAAGAGGCUAAGAACAUGUAAGUGUGAUUCUCUUAGUUAGUAUUGACUUAGAGGUCCUCAAAGUGGGGUGCCUGGAUCAUUAGCAUCCCCUAGGAACUCAUUAGAAAUUCAAAAAUUGGAACUCCACUCCACACCUACUGAAUCAGAAAGUAUGGGGGCAGGGCUCAGAUAUCUGUGUACAGCUGAACCCUUCAGCCAUUCCAAUGUACUCUGAAGUUUCAGUAGCAAUGUAGUAACUCAUACUCACUUGGAAAGAAGCUAACUGAUGUUUGUUGGGCAGCUACCAAGUCAGUCACCAUAGUGGGCCUUUUCAUUAAAUUACUUCAUAUAAAUUCUAAUAGCAUAUGAGACAGUAUCAUUAGUAGACUCCACUCCUGACUAGAUCUGUGUCCUUGGGCUAAGUAUUUAAUGUAAUGUUGCUCAGUUAAUUUAUUCAUAAAACAGAUAUGUGUCUACCACUUGAGUUUGUUGGGAGGAUUAAUUAAAUUGACAAGUAUAUGAAAAAUACUAUUUAAUUCUCAUACUUGUUUUCUAUCAUCAUUAUUACUUUCAGUUAUAAGCAUUAUUGAGGCCUCAAUAACUUAAGUAAUUUGCUAGACAUGAUACAGCCAAAAUUUGAUCCUUGGCUGUUUUCCUUUAAAAGAAGAUCUGUUUUUGUCCUCCCCUCUCCAUCUGCAUACAAUAAUUACAUUUGUACAAUAUAUUUUGUCUCCUUUAUACAUGUACAUUUCUCCUUCUCCAUUAUUAUUUAUCUGAUAGCCUUCUCUAAAUAAACAUCAUAAGAGAGGGGUAAUACUUUGUAUUUUCCAAAAUCUGAUUUUAUGUUUAGAUGCAUAAUAGAUGUCCAGUAAACACUUGCUAAUUGUGAGAAAAAGUCAAUGGCUAAAACUUUCUUCAAACAUUGAUAAAAUGUCUGCUAGUGAAAUAAUAGAUUAUAGGAGUAAUAUUAAAGAAAAAUCUCUCUCCCCCCCCUCUCUUUUUAAAGGAAAUUGUCAGAGUAGCCUACAUAUGAAUACAAGGCUAAAUACUUGCAUGGUAUCUGGCUAAAUCUCUUUUAGUUAACAAUGUCCAGCCUAUAUAAUUCAAGGAGUAGAGAAUAAGAAAAUAUUGAUGGAUUUUUCUAUUUAAUAAAUAAAGAAAGAAACAGAAUAUUUAAGUAGUUGAAAGAUAUUUUACCUCAUAGAUACAUGGGAAAUAAUCUUAUGUCUUCAGAAUAAUUAUUUUUAAUACAGUUUGAGUAGUUUUCAUAUUGAGCAGUUGACAACUAGAAGAAAUAAGAAUGUUCAAGAAAAAUAUUUUCAAUACUAAAAUAACAAAUACUCUGGUGUAUAAAACUCUAUUCAUAAAAAUAUAACUUUUUUGUAUAUUUAUAACCACAUCAUAAUCCCCAUUAUGCCACCUAUAUUAGAAAUAUUCAUUGACCAUACAAACUUCUCAUACUCUUCUUUGUUGGUAAGAUAAUUGUUCAAUCUUUCCUCAAGAACUACAUAAUGUAUCAUAAUUGUUACUAGUGGCUAACUUAAGGAAUUCCCUGUGAUUGGAAGAGAAAAAUGAAAAAAUGAGAUAUGAGACUAAUAAACAAAUGGACAUCAACCAGACCAAAUAUGACACUAGAACUUUGACCACCAAGCCUGGGAGUCCAAAACACAACCUCUGCAACAACUGGGUCAGAAUCGUUAUGAAAGUCUAGGACUUUCAAAAUAUUUUCAAGUGAGUGAUUACCGACGUCCUUCAUUUUGGUCUCCUGUUUCUAACUCUGAAACUCUCUGCAACUUUGGCUGCAAAGAAACCACAAAUGCUUCCAAUCUUGUAGGAUGCCCUGCUUUUAGUUAACCCACCUCCAGCUUUCCCAUGCUAACAACCUCCACUUAGAGCAUACCCGAAGCUUUCUGUUUUAUGCCUAUAAAGUUCCAUGACACUGGCCUUGGCAAUAUUUUUUGGACACAACAAUAAAAGCAAAAGCAACAAAGGGAAAAAUUUUAAAAAAAUGUCACUAUAUCACAUAAAAAGAAAGAGCUUCUGCAUAGGAAAUAAACAAUCAAUGAGAUAAAAAGGCAACCUAUGGAAUGGGAGAAAAUAUUAGCAAAUUGUUAAUCUGAUAAGGCUUUAAUAUCCAAUAUAUAAAAACAACUUGUACAACUCAAUAACAAAAGCAAUAGAAACAAUCCAAUUAAAACAAGGGCAGAAGAAUUGAAUGGACAUUUUUCUAAGGAAGACAUAUAGAUGACUAACAGAUUCGUCAAAAUGCUGAAACCUCACUAAUCAUCAGGGCAAUGCCCUCAUCAGGGCAAUGCAAAUCAAACCUGCAGUGAGGUAUUUCCUCAUGCCUGUUUGAAUGGCUACAUCCUAAGAGAUGAGAUAACAAGUGUUGGUGAAAAUACUGAGGAAAAGGAACAUUUAUAUACUUUCAGUGAGAAUGUAAGUUGCUGUAACUGUGAUGGAAAAUAGUAUGGAAUAUCCUCAAAAAAUUAUAAAUAGAACAAAGAUAUGCUCCAGCAGUUCUACUUAUGGGCUUAUCUCUGAUUCGACCCCUAGCCUGGGAACCUCCAUAUGCCGUGGGAGCGGCCCAAAGAAAUAGCAAAAAAGACAAAAAAAAAGAAAAAGAAAUGUUCAAGGGUGAUGGUGAUUCAGAAAAGAAUGUGGGAUUUGAUAUUUUGGCAUUAUUGAAAAUAUGCAAUAAAAGUAUGUCUGUCAUUAUAGUUAUUAGGAUAAAAAACGAACUGUUAGAUAUAACAUGUAAGGGUAAACUACCCACACACAAGAAAAAUGAAAGAGAAAAGCUUGAAGAAAUAGGUGGAUCAAGGGCAAAGUUCUCCUGGACAGGUUAAGUCUUGAAACUAUAGUCUGAAAGGAAUGAUUAAAUGGAAAUAAGAAAUUGAUUGCCAUUAGAAAAAGCACUGAAAACAUAUUUAGGACAGGCAAGAGAAGAUGAAGACAAGAAUACACGAAGGAGAGAGAAAGUUCUUUCUUGGAAAUAAAGUAAUGGGUGAGGAACGGAUGAAGAUAACAAAUACAUUUUUUAAAUGGAAAUAGGAAAAUUGAAGUUGUUAACAUGAAUAACUUUAAUCCACUUUAAAACUUAUGAGCAAAUUAUGUCAUGGCAGAAGAGAGGUAGUUACAGAAAAGGGGGCACUGGAAAUAUUUCACUUUAGUGGCUAUUAGUAGUGUAAUGGGUAGGAACUGCUAUGAAAUAAUGAUGAUGAAAUGUGAGCAACACAUAGGGCUAAUUGUGUGUUAGAAU